rnacentral:tRNA from 1 species
GGGGGUGUCGCAUAGUGGCAAUUGCAAGAGACUGUAAAUCUCUCGGUCCUAGACCUUCGUUGGUUCGAGUCCAAUCGCCCCCA